UAGCGGCAGGCUUAAUACAUGCAAGUCGUGGGGCAGCAUGAGUAGCAAUACUUGAUGGCGACCGGCAAACGGGUGAGGAACACGUACACAACCUUCCUUCAAGCGGGGAAUAGCCCAGAGAAAUUUGGAUUAAUACCCCAUAAUAUAUUUGAUAAGGCAUCUUAUUAAUAUUAAAGCUUCGGCACUUGAUGAUGGGUGUGCGGCUGAUUAGAUAGUUGGCGGGGUAACGGCCCACCAAGUCUACGAUCAGUAGCUGAUGUGAGAGCAUGAUCAGCCACACGGGCACUGAGACACGGGCCCGACUCCUACGGGAGGCAGCAGUAAGGAAUAUUGGACAAUGGACGAAAGUCUGAUCCAGCCAUGCCGCGUGAAGGAUUAAGGUCCUCUGGAUUGUAAACUUCUUUUAUAUGGGACGAAAAAGGGCAUUCUUGUUCACUUGACGGUACCAUAUGAACAAGCACCGGCUAACUCCGUG
rnacentral:rRNA from 1 species